CUUCCUACACCUCUGCAAAUUCCAGUUUCAACUACUAAUAGAUCUUUUUUCUAGUUUUCAUUCUGUGCAUAUUAAAGUACUUAAAACAAUUCUGUCUUUUUAAUGUAACAUUUGGAUGCAAAUUGCUCUACUGCAUUGUAACCAGACUUUCACGUCUUGUAAUAUCCUGUCUCCCCUCUGGGUUUCAGGCCAGACAGCCUUGCUCUGCCCCUCACUUAACCCCAGAUCUUGAGCCCCACCUUCGACUACAGUCCGACUUCACCAGCCUUUCCCAGGAGCUGGAGCAUGUGCGGUGACAGCAGCAGCAGAACUCAGUCUGUGCAGGUCUGGCCAGAGAAUCCCCAUCCAAUGCCAAACAAACAAAGCCUGAGGUGGUUCACACCGAGCACAACUUGUCAGAGCAGCCCUGCCAGGUCCCAAACCACAGGAGGAACAAAGGCAAAGAGAGGGCAAGGUUGUCCUGUUUCAAAUGCAUGGGGCAAGAAAAGAGGAAAAACACUCUGUCAUGAUGGCUUACAUUUAGAAAAAACUGAGAGAGCCAUCACGGACACUCACAAGGUUUAAGAAUUCCAAAACAACACUAAAACAUGAAAUUGAAUGUAAACCAAUGAUAUAAAAUAGAUUUUACAGCAAUUUAUGAUACAUGAUAAUUGUAUAUAUUCUAAAAUGAAUAUUUAUGUCCCAUUAGUAUUCUAAAAGGAACCGUUUUGAACAUCAUCCUUCUUGAAGUCUGUUGUGAUGUUUGCAUUAAUAAUGUGUUUAUCUAUCCUUUUAUUCUCCAAAAGGAGUGUGUCUCUGUGUCAGUUACCAUGGGAGUCCAAAACCUCCAAAAGACAAUUUUCACUCUUCUGCCACAGUCUGCCCAUGAUCCUAGGUUUUGAGACCUUUGCCACAGAUCGUGCUGGGAUACCAGACAUAUUGGACGCCUGGUUUGAUGAGGUCUUUCUCCCUCUGGAAAAUGUCCAGAGUGUAGGCUCUUUCCCUGAUGGUCUGGAGGAGAACCAGCUUCCACAGGACGAGAUCCAGGAUCUGAACAGACUGGUUUUGGAUGAAGGUAUCAAUGCAGCUGAUUUAGACCACGAAGUGGCCAAGCUGACCCAAACUUUGACUGAAUGUAGAAACCACAGUGCCUUCGACAGGUGUCGUCGUGGAGCACUUUCAUCAAACUUGGCCGUCUUAACCAGGCCCUUGAAGAUCUCGAUGCUGUAAGCCUUAUUUUCUUGUCUUUUAUUAGUGAUGCAUGUUAAGGUAAGCUUAACUUAUACUACUGCUCAUAAGAUUUUGUUUUUCAGUGUUGGCUCACUACAAAAUGGUUAAUUUCAGAAAUCAUUAUCCAAACAAACCAAAACAGAAUGUUCUACAGAUGUGACCUGAUUUUCUGCUUAGUUUAUCAUGUACUAAUGAUCGAUCUGUUGUUUUUCUAUUUUUAAAGGCCAUCUCCCUGGAGCCUCAUUUACUGGAUGCCUACUGGCACAGACACUGCAUCUACCUGCUGAGAAAUGACCCUGAUAGAGCUCUGGACGAUCUUAACGUCAUCGUCAAGAACAACAAGAAGCAUGCAGACCUUCACCAUCAACUCAAGGAUCGAUGUAAUACAGCACUUCAACACCUCCAAAUGGAUGCAGGCGCUGGAAGACUUCCCCUUACUGCUAAAACAAGAACCUGGGAAUGCUGCAGCCAGGCAGGACAUACAAAGGAAGGAUCUUUUCCAAGGUGGUUAGUUUGAGAUUUAUAUCGAGGACUUUUCUCUGGCUGUGCACUUGGAUCUCCCAGUAGCUGGUGGCGUUUUACCACAGAGGGUGUCUGCUGAGGGAGAUAAUGCCUCAUAUGGCCUUAAGGGGUCUCAGGACAUCUGGUAACACGCACGUUUGAUAUAAGACAUGAAAACGUGUAAUUUUCAAAUUUCUGAAUAUAAAGAUACAGUACUUUGCUAACAUUUUGAGGGGCCUGAGGAAGACUGAUGCCCAUGGGAGUUUUUAAGUAAUAUGUUGAGGUCUGACACUUUCUGUUGGAAAGCUGGAUGAUUAGACAGAUGGUCCAGUCACGGUUGUUCAACGAUCAAUUCAAAAGUUACACAUGAGUGUUUUUCAUAAGAUUUCUUCAGGAAGCCCAAAGGAAAGAAAAAACCUGACACAAGAUCUCUUAACGUCUUUCAUAUCGCACAUCUUCUUAUAAACAUCAAUGGAACUGCA